rnacentral:rRNA from 1 species
GAUGAACGCUGGCGGCGUGCCUAAUACAUGCAAGUCGAGCGAACGGACGAGAAGCUUGCUUCUCUGAUGUUAGCGGCGGACGGGUGAGUAACACGUGGAUAACCUACCUAUAAGACUUGGAUAACUUCGGGAAACCGGAGCUAAUACCGGAUAAUAUUUUGAACCGCAUUGUUCAAAAGUGAAAGACGGUCUUGCUGUCACUUAUAGAUGGAUCCGCGCUGCAUUAGCUAGUUGGUAAGGUAACGGCUUACCAAGGCAACGAUGCAUAGCCGACCUGAGAGGGAGAUCGGCCACACGGGAACUGAGACGCGGUCCUGACUCCGACGGGAGGGAGCAGUAGGGAAUCUUCCGCAAUGGGCGAAAGCCGGACGGAGCAACGCCGCGUGAGUGAUGAAGUCAUUCGGAUCGUAAAACUCUGUUAUUAUGGAAGAACAUAUGUGUAAGUAACCGUGCACACCUUGACGGUACCUAAUCAGAAAGCCACGGCUAACUACGUG